rnacentral:rRNA from 1 species
GACAGAGGGGGCAAGCGUUGCUCGGAAUCACUGGGCGUAAAGGGCGCGUAGGCGGGCUGGCAAGUCGGUCGUGAAAUCCUUCGGCUCAACCGAAGAACGUCGGCCGAUACUGCCGUUCUUGAGGGAUGCAGAGGAGCUUGGAAUUCCCGGUGUAGCGGUGAAAUGUGUAGAGAUCGGGGGGAACACCGGUGGUGAAGGCGGGUCUCUGGGCAUCUCCUGACGCUGAGGCGCGAAAGCGUGGGGAGCAAACGGG